UAGGGAAUCUUCCGCAAUGGACGAAAGUCUGACGGAGCAACGCCGCGUGAACGAUGAAGGCCUUCGGGUCGUAAAGUUCUGUUGUUAGGGAAGAACAAGUACCGGAGUAACUGCCGGUACCUUGACGGUACCUAACCAGAAAGCCACGGCUAACUACGUGCCAGCAGCCGCGGUAAUACGUAGGUGGCAAGCGUUGUCCGGAAUUAUUGGGCGUAAAGCGCGCGCAGGCGGUUCCUUAAGUCUGAUGUGAAAGCCCCCGGCUCAACCGGGGAGGGUCAUUGGAAACUGGGGAACUUGAGUACUGAAGAGGAAAGCGGAAUUCCACGUGUAGCGGUGAAAUGCGUAGAGAUGUGGAGGAACACCAGUGGCGAAGGCGGCUUUCUGGUCAGUAACUGACGCUGAGGCGCGAAAGCGUGGGGAGCAAACAGG
rnacentral:rRNA from 1 species